rnacentral:rRNA from 1 species
UGCAAGUCGAACGGCUCUUUCGGGAGCAGUGGCGGACGGGUGAGUAACGCGUGGGAACGUGCCCUAAGGUUCGGAACAACACAGGGAAACUUGUGCUAAUACCGGAUGUGCCCGUGAGGGGAAAGAUUUAUCGCCUUAGGAGCGGCCCGCGUCUGAUUAGCUAGUUGGUGGGGUAAAGGCUUACCAAGGCGACGAUCAGUAGCUGGUCUGAGAGGAUGGCCAGCCACACUGGGACUGAGACACGGCCCAGACUCCUACGGGAGGCAGCAGUGGGGAAUCUUGCGCAAUGGGCGGAAGCCUGACGCAGCCAUGCCGCGUGGAUGAUGAAGGUCUUAGGAUUGUAAAAUCCUUUCAGCGGGGACGAUAAUGACGGUACCCGCAGAAGAAGCCCCGGCUAACUUCGUGCCAGCAGCCGCGGUAAUACGAAGGGGGCUAGCGUUGCUCGGAAUUACUGGGCGUAAAGGGAGCGUAGGCGGAUCGAUUAGUCAGGGGUGAAAUCCCGGGGCUCAACCUCGGAACUGCCUUUGAUACUGUCGAUCUUGAGUAUGGGAGAGGUGUGUGGAACUCCGAGUGUAGAGGUGAAAUUCGUAGAUAUUCGGAAGAACACCAGUGGCGAAGGCGACACACUGGCCCAUUACUGACGCUGAGGCUCGAAAGCGUGGGGAGCAAACAGGAUUAGAUACCCUGGUAGUCCACGCUGUAAACGAUGAGUGCUAGUUGUCGGCGGGCAUGCCCGUCGGUGACGCAGCUAACGCAUUAAGCACUCCGCCUGGGGAGUACGUC